GUAGGUGGCAAGCGUUGUCCGGAAUUAUUGGGCGUAAAGCGCGCGCAGGCGGUCCUUUAAGUCUGAUGUGAAAGCCCACGGCUCAACCGUGGAGGGUCAUUGGAAACUGGGGGACUUGAGUACAGAAGAGGAAAGCGGAAUUCCAAGUGUAGCGGUGAAAUGCGUAGAGAUUUGGAGGAACACCAGUGGCGAAGGCGGCUUUCUGGUCUGUAACUGACGCUGAGGCGCGAAAGCGUGGGGAGCAAACAGGGAUUAGAUACCCUGGUAGUCCACGCCGUAAACGAUGAGUGCUAAGUGUUAGGGGGUUUCCCGCCCCCUUAGUGCUGCAGCUAACGCAUUAAGCACUCCGCCUGGGAGUACGCCGCAAGGCUG
rnacentral:rRNA from 1 species